rnacentral:lncRNA from 10 species
AGAGAAGCAACUGCAGCAGUCUAAGGAAGAUAAAAUGGUAGAAUAGAUAACAAGUUGAAACUCAGUUUCUGCAAUCAUGCUAUUAGUAAGUGUAGAACUGUCCAGGACACAUCUGGUGGGAGAAUGUUUGUGAAUGUUUUUGUUGUAUUUGAGGUAGAGUGGAGUGAUAGAUAACAGUAGGUAUAACCCAUGAAAGAUCUCACAAACUGUCCUUAGGAUGCUGGAUAAGAGAGUUCCCUUUCUACACCACCACCAGUUGAGAAUCCAC